GAAAGCCGUGUACGGGAAAACCGUACGCACGGUUUGAUGAGGGAGCACUGAGGAGGAACAAAUGACAUCCGGAACACGCAGUAGCCGCGUGCGGCAAUGCGUUAAAGGACCGGGCAUCUGUCCGAAUCAGUGCUCUACUCUAC
rnacentral:ncRNA from 1 species